AAACGAUAGCUAAUACCGCAUAAAAUUGAUUAUUGCAUGAUAAUUAAUUGAAAGAUGCAAUUGCAUCACUACCAGAUGGACCUGCGUUGUAUUAGCUAGUUGGUGAGGUAACGGCUCACCAAGGCGACGAUACAUAGCCGACCUGAGAGGGUGAUCGGCCACACUGGGACUGAGACACGGCCCAGACUCCUACGGGAGGCAGCAGUAGGGAAUCUUCGGCAAUGGGGGGAACCCUGACCGAGCAACGCCGCGUGAGUGAAGAAGGUUUUCGGAUCGUAAAGCUCUGUUGUAAGAGAAGAACGGGUGUGAGAGUGGAAAGUUCACACUGUGACGGUAUCUUACCAGAAAGGGACGGCUAACUACGUGCCAGCAGCCGCGGUAAUACGUAGGUCCCGAGCGUUGUCCGGAUUUAUUGGGCGUAAAGCGAGCGCAGGCGGUUAGAUAAGUCUGAAGUUAAAGGCUGUGGCUUAACCAUAGUAUGCUUUGGAAACUGUUUAACUUGAGUGCAGAAGGGGAGAGUGGAAUUCCAUGUGUAGCGGUGAAAUGCGUAGAUAUAUGGA
rnacentral:rRNA from 1 species